rnacentral:rRNA from 1 species
UACGUAGGGUGCAAGCGUUAAUCGGAAUUACUGGGCGUAAAGCGUGCGCAGGCGGUGAUGUAAGACAGAUGUGAAAUCCCCGGGCUCAACCUGGGAACUGCAUUUGUGACUGCAUCGCUGGAGUACGGCAGAGGGGGAUGGAAUUCCGCGUGUAGCAGUGAAAUGCGUAGAUAUGCGGAGGAACACCGAUGGCGAAGGCAAUCCCCUGGGCCUGUACUGACGCUCAUGCACGAAAGCGUGGGGAGCAGACAGG